AUUGAACGCUGGCGGCAGGCCUAACACAUGCAAGUCGAGCGAGCGGCGGACGGGUGAGUAAUGUAUGGGAAUCUGCCUGAUGGAGGGGGAUAACUACUGGAAACGGUAGCUAAUACCGCAUACCAUCAGAUGACCCCAUAUGGGAUUAGCUUGUAGGUAAGGUAACGGCUUACCAAGGCGACGAUCCCUAGCUGGUCUGAGAGGAUGACCAGCCAAACUGGAACUGAGACACGGUCCAGACUCCUACGGAAGGCAGCAGUGGGGAAGAUUGCACAAUGGGCGCAAGCCUGAUGCAGCCAUGCCGCGUGUAUGAAGAAGGCCUUCGGGUUGUAAAGUACUUUCAGUGGGGAGGCGUUACCGACAGAAGAAGCACCGGCUAACUCCGUGCCAGCAGCCGCGGUAAUUC
rnacentral:rRNA from 1 species